ensembl:lncRNA
AAGGAGGCUGCGGUGGUGGGCACGUACAAGACAGAGGCAGGCGCGAGGCUUGGGGGGACGUGGACCAGCACCCCCUUGUUUCUGGGACCACUUCCGCUGGUGCAUUGUGCUCUGCGUCUCCGAACUUCGAUAUCCCCCAGCUCAGGCCUGGAAAGCAGUCAGCUCUUACAAAGGGUGACUUCUGUUGUUCAGAGUUUCUCCAAUGUCUGCAGUGUCUGAAAGCAGCCAGCCCAAAAUAACCCUCAUGCCAAAGAGACGUAUCUUGGGGUGGCCACUUCAAUUCCCCCACAGUGGAAAAAAUUCUUCCUGGGCUAACGUCUCUCCACUCUUCCUUUUUCCUUUCUUCCCAAAGCCCCAGUGCGUGGUAGUACACCGUAGUCAUAAGUCCUUCCAGUUCUGUGUGAGCCACAGCCUCAGCGUGGCUCCUGACAGACGGCUGGUGUGGUUCUGAGACCGGGAAAUGAACCCGGGCCUCAGAAGCGGUGAGAUCGCUGAACCUGAACCCAACGCGUCAGGGCUGCUCAGACUGCGUGUUGUUGAAUGAAGAGGCAGAUGACCGAGUGAGUGGCUGCCCUCUUCCCUCCUUUCGCGUCACGACGAGACUCGUGUGCACUGAGUGCAGACGGCAUCUCCUGUCUUUGCCGAAAGGCUUCCCCAGAGAGCUUUGUGUCCCAACAGGAGGGGCUCCGGGAGCCCUCUGCAGCAGGCCCAGCGAGGAGGGACAUUCCAUGUGACACGACCAGGCCACCUGCCCCACCAGCCAGGGUGGCCACCGUGGAGACAGUUGGCAACGGGGCCAGCACGUGUCAUGACACGGGCAGUGCGGCUGCCCGCUCCAGGGCGAAGAGGCCCAGAAGGUUCCUUCCGUGAAUGUUCCCUCGUCAAAGAUGUUCGUGGCAGAACAGUCAAUGCGCUCUGGAUCAGGCAGAAGGCAGCGAGCGUCCUCCAGAACCAUAGACACGGUCCCACCGGAGCCGCCGGCCCUCUUUACACGCUUCUGCUGUGCCCUUGGUGACAGUUACGAACUCUUGGACAGAGGAUUUUCGGAAAGGGAGGACGAGCUUAGGAUGAGAAUCACGCAUCCCAAAGGCUCCGUGGAUCCUGCAUGGUGACGGAACGGCGGAGCCCAAAUGACAGAGCUCCUGUCCCUGGAGUCUGGGCUGGUGGAGAGGGCGUGCAGCGCAAAUAAGGGACUGGCCUGUCUCCAAGGCCCUUCAGCCAUCAGGAGACGCCAGGACCCUGAGAUCUGACUGUCCCUCUCUGUUAAGGCAACACCCACACAGCUCAGCCCGCUGCCUGGUCCCGGGACGGAUGUCAGCAGAGUUCAGCAGAGAGCCGCUUGCUCAGGGCUUGGUGUGUGCGAGGCUCCUGGAGGGGACAAAGCGGGGGUCAGGAGACCCAGGCCGCAGCGUCAGGGAGGCAACCGGAGAGGCUCCUGGGAGGAGGCCUGAGGGCAACAACUGCCUGGAUGACAGCACAAAACGUGUCUCCCCUCCUCCAGAACCUGGGAGGGCUGUGGAGUGAGGACAGAGGGGAGAACGUGAUGGCGUGUGUGGGACUUCAACAGAGAGCACUGACAAAGAACGUCCAGGCCACAGGGAGCCACGGUGGGAGCCGGAGCAGAGGAGCGACAGGAAUGGACACGGGGCUCCCCCACACAGUGCUCCAGCCCUCUAGCCAGGUGUGCACAGCAGAGCAGGAUGACAAGAACAGACACUCUACUGAUGAGCACUAACUGAGAGCGGUCCUGGAUCAGCCUCUCACCUUGAAAGGACAUGCAACAGUCCCUUCGGCCAGGCACCCCGCUGGGGACAUUUAAUGUCCCUCGGCCACAUGCAGCAGGUCAGGAAGAGGGCAGAAUCCCUGGCUCCAUGUCCCAUGUCCCUCCCCAGACCCGGCUGAGCCGCUGGUCCUCACUGCCCCCAGGGUCCCCACUCUGGACAGAGGCCAGCCUCGGGGCUCCCAGGGCCCUCCAGCCUCUGGUGCCAGUAGCCCUUUCUUACCUGGGCCAUCGCCCCACAGGGUGGGGGUGGCUCCACUCCUGGGUCACUCCUGGGGACCAGCCCCCAGCAGCCUCCUCUGUUGGAUGCUAGGACCCUCCUGCCCCCAGAGGGAGGCAAACUCC